AAAAAUUGAAAAGAAAAAUACCUUUUCUUAUGGAAGGGAGUCUGACGGCUAGGGUUCUUGGCUCCAGCAGAUUUUUAGGUUUAUAAAGGGACAAACUAUGUAAUUAUGUUAUUUUAAUAUGGGUAUUUUUGUCAAAAAUACAGCUUUCCGAAAAAGCUGAAACAGCUUCCUCCCAAAAGCUCCAAAUUGGAGCUUCCUCCCAAAAGCUGUUUUCAGCUUCCCGCAAAAGCUGAAACAGCUUUUUGAAAAAUUUACCAAACACAGUUUUUCAUCUAAAAGUACUUUUGGAGGGUCAGAAAGUGCUUUCUGGCCCUCCAAAAGCUCCCCCAAACAGGGCCU
rnacentral:lncRNA from 1 species